UGGUGUAGAGGAAGUCCAUAUGAGUCUUUGUCGUUGUAUCUUCUAACAAGGAAACACUACUUAGGCUUUUAGGAUAAAGUUGCGGUUUAAGUUCUUAUACGCAAUCAUACUCAUGACAUCAAGUCAUAUUUGACUCCAAAACACUAACCAAGCUUCUCCUUGCUUCUCAAAGCUUUGAUGGUGUAGCCGAAGUCUUUAUGAGUCUUUGUCUUUGUAUCUUCUAACAAUGAAA
rnacentral:sRNA from 1 species